rnacentral:lncRNA from 1 species
UAUUUUGACUGACAAUACUCAUGAAACAGAUUAUAGAGUAGCAUUUGACAUUGAAAGGCUGCAUCAUAGAACAUCCAAAUGCUACAGCAAAAAAUGCCAAUGUCGAGUAAUCAUUCAAGUACACAAAAGCAGGCCAUUUCAUUUGUACACUUAGGCCAAAAGAGACUAUGGUUAACCCCCAAAAUAUUGUAGUUAGCCCUGUCCAAAAUACUACCUAACCACUUUGAAGAUACUAGAUCAGAUCACCAUAAAGAUAUCAUCGUCAACUCAUGAAGUUGUCAAGAGCUCGGUAAAGCUGCCGAUUGCAUCAUAUUCUUGACGCUUCUCACUUUCUCCCAUGGGACUCCCUCCUUUGUUUGUGCCAUCGUUCUCCACUUGCACUUGAGGUUCCUGGCUAUCUUUUUUCUUUUGUUGUUGCUGCUGCCAAUGUAAAUGAGAAAUUAUUUUGUUAGUUUAGCAAUGAAUAACAACUCAUAUUAGAUACAUACUGCAGCUUACCUUUGCUCCUUUUUUUUGUUGUUGCCGCUGAUUUAGUUGGCUUUCGCCCCUUGCGUAACUUCUCAAACCAAGUUAGCUUCCUUCUUAAAUUUUUAGAUGAAACCUCCUUUUUCUUCAGUCGUGCUAAACUAAGCAAGUCAUUGGCUUGCUGCACAUUUGUAUCAACAUUUUCUUGGUCAUUGGAACAUGCAUUUGUAGCACUUGUAGCUCAUGCGUUGAGUUUAUCCUCUAGUUGUGGCCAAACACAAUCAAGUGCAUUCACUAGCAGCAAACGACAUUCGGGAGAGUUGGCUAUUUUAUAUGCCAUAUCACUACUAGAGAAAACCAAAAUUUGACACACUGUUAUGGACAUAAUGAUAUAAACCUCAUAAUUGAUAUUGUACCAAAAUUUGUAUAACAGAGUAUAAAUACACUAAAAAUAAAAAAAAUGAAAAAAAUAAUAUUAGUAGCGAUGGAUAGUAAACACGCUGCAACUAGCUAGAUUAGCAGCAGCGCGGGAGAGAACAAGCGCUGCCGCUAUGUGUCUUAGCAGUAGCGCGUGUAGCGCCUUAUUAGUAGUGCGGCAACCCGCGCUACUAAUGGGCAUUAAAUCAGCGCUACUACUAGGGUUUUCCCUAGUAGUGUAUCAUGAAAUUUAUGAGACAUGUCUUUGUACCAAUGUUGAGCUUUCAAUUUUGGAUUUUCUACCACUUUCCUUUGUCUAUCAUGUAUACUUCCAUUUCGUGUAUCUCUUUCUCACAUCAAAGCCGGUGUGACCCCCAUAUGCAUCCCAAAAUGUCCAAGCCUCAUCUACACUUCUGAACCUCAUACCAACUUGUGGUAUUCCCUUACCAAUUUCUGUCAUCCCACAACACUGAAAAUUGUGAGGCACAACAGAAUUCUCAAUUUUCAGAGCAGAGCACUCAUGCUGAUUUCAGUUACUC